rnacentral:rRNA from 1 species
UCGAGAAUUUUUCACAAUGGGGGAAACCCUGAUGGAGCGACGCCGCGUGGGGGAUGAAUGGCUUCGGCCCGUAAACCCCUGUCAUUUGCGAGCAAAGCGCAUUAUUUAAAAGAUGAUGUGUUGAUAGUAGCGGAAGAGGAAGGGACGGCUGACUCUGUGCCAGCAGCCGCGGUAAUACAGAGGUCCCGAGCGUUGUUCGGAUUCACUGGGCGUAAAGGGUGCGUAGGUGGUGAGGUGUGUCGGAUGUGAAAUCUCGGAGCUCAACUCCGAAACUGCAUUGGAAACUACCUUGCUGGAGGGUUGGAGGGGGGACUGGAAUACUUGGUGUAGCAGUGAAAUGCGUAGAUAUCAAGUGGAAGACCAGUGGCGAAGGCGAGUCCCUGGACAACUACUGACACUGAGGCACGAAAGCUAGGG